GUGCUCACUUCAGCAGCACAUAUACUAAAACUGAACAAUACAGAGAUUAGCAUGGUCCCUGUGCAAGGAUGACUGACAAAUUCGUGAAGCAUUCCAUAUUAAA